rnacentral:rRNA from 1 species
GUAACAAGGUUUCCGUAGGUGAACCUGCGGAAGGAUCAUUAUCGAAAGAAAUCUCAGGCAGGGGGGGAAGGUGGUUGUAGCUGGCCCUUAGGGGUAUGUGCACACUGCCUGUCUCUCUUGUUUGUUUCU